CCACCCCCCCUUCCUCGUACUGUCUAAACAUGCCCAUCCUCCUCCAUCUUUCUCUCUUUCAGUCACAAACCAUACUCAAAAAGCCCUAGCUAUGAUUUUUUUUUUAAACAAAUAAUUUGCCCUAGCUAUCUAUGUAGCUUGUUAGCUAAUAGCUAUAGCUUUCUUGUUCAAAUAACCUAGACAAGAAUUGCGUUAGGUUGCAUUGUCGAUAGAAGACUAUAAUUUAUACCACUAUGCUUCAUGUGAUGGGUCAAUAAUUUAUUAAGAUCUAUAUAAUACUUCUUCCUUGCUUGUUUGUGUUUGAGUGUUGUAAUGCUUCGGAUACAAGCAUGGCCUACAAUAAUAUUAGUAGCCUUGCAAAAGAUAUAUAGUAAUUGGUUAUUUCGUGUGUUUGCUGCACAAUUAGAGGAUAUAUAGCGAUGCCUUUGUGGGUGCUUAAUUAAUUGUUAGAGAGUUGGUGAGGGAUAUGGAAGGGGCUCACUUCAGUCCAGUCCGAGGCGGUGGAAGAUGGCUGAAACUCAGCUGCUGACUCGUUGGUUCGAGAGCUCACCAUUAAGAUCGAUCGAUGAUGUCGGCACUCAGCCCAUGUACAUAAUUAAGGUGGUCUGCUUCUGAUCCAACGAUGCGGGAGCUGCAUUUAGUCGUGACUGUCACGUCUUGGACUGAAGGGGCCUCUUCAUUUCCCAUAUCCUUCACUCGUAUAUAGUACUUCCUUGUUAUUAUACGUUUGUUUGCUUAGUUAAUGUUUUUCUAGUCUACGCAUGCAGUUUCUUCUAACAUAGAUAUUAAGAGCUGAUAUAUAUAUAUAUAUAUAUAUAUACUGAAAAGUUCAAUCGAUUAAUUUUUGCGUUGUAGAAGAGCUGAAUGUUUACAUGGUCCUAACCAGUCGUUCUCUUCAUUCUUCAAGAACCAUAGAAUAAUAAUUAGCUAACUACGACUAUGAGCAUGCUGAUUAGUCUCUUAGUGGUUCAACAAUGUAUACUCGGUGCCUGAAAACAUGCGUUGUCAAAAGUUUUCGAGGUUGGAACCUACUACAGUAACGGCUGAUGGGAGAAGUUGAGGCAAAAUCUUACACUUUACAGUGUGCAAGAUCUGCUUACCCUUGGACAAUGUCAAAGUGACACUUUUGACAUUCUUCAAACACGGAUUCCCAGCUGUUGAACAAUUGAAAGCAGAUUGCAUCACGAGAGUUAAUUUCAACCAUGUUAUAAUUCCGUACAGAUUAAAUUAUAGUUACCUAUAUUCUUUGGGGGUGGUUACUGGCCGGUUAGUGUAUUUCUUGAUCAGAAUGUUCGGUGAAUCUAGUAUGUUAUAUAAUUAAUUUGUCUUUGCUCUACCGAACUCAAGUUGUUGAGUUAUUUGCAAAGUGCAGACAGGAAAAUCUGGAUACCGUUUAAUUUCUUGUUGUGACUAAAAAUAUUCUAAUGAAAGACUUAAAGAUUGUAGUUGACGGCUUGACUUCAGUUUUGCUAUCUGGCAAGCAAGUUGAAGUGAACUGCUGAAGA